rnacentral:rRNA from 1 species
GUACACGCUGUGACUAGCAUAUCAAUAAGCGGAGGAAAAGAAACUAACAAGGAUUCCCCUAGUAACGGCGAGUGAAGCGGGAAGAGCUCAAAUUUGAAAUCUUAAAGGGUUUCCCUUUACGAAUUGUAGUUUAAGAGAAGUGUUUUCUGUUGAGGUUUUGGUAAAAGUUCUUUGGAAUAGGACAUCAUAGAGGGUGAGAAUCCCGUAUUUGACCUUUACUUUCAACUUUGUGAUACACUUUCAAAGAGUCGGAUUGUUUGGGAAUGCAGUCCAAAAUGGGUGGUAAAUUUCAUCUAAAGCUAAAUAUUGGCGAGAGACCGAUAGCGAACAAGUACCGUGAGGGAAAGAUGAAAAGAACUUUGAAAAGAGAGUUAAACAGUACGUGAAAUUGUCAAAAGGGAAGCGUUUGACACCAGUGUUGUUUUUCUGAAAAUCAAUUAAAGAACUGUUUAUGCUAAGUUGUUUAGACUUUAUCAGCUAACUGUUUAGUUUUGAGCUUUUCUUUAAUGCACUUUUCAGUUAACAGGUCAACAUCAAUUUCUUUUGCUGUAAAAAAGCUUGAGGAAGGUGGCUUGAGAUUCGUCUUAAGUGUUUAUAGCCUCUUGCCUAUGCAGUCGGAGAGAUUGAGGUCUGCAGCGUAGAUCCUUCGGGGCUAAAUGCAUUUGUGCUAAGUUAUAGCAUUUUAUAGACAACUUGUUGACUAUGAUUUGUCUUGUAGCUUACUCGCUUAUGUUAUUUUACCUACGCUUAGGAUGUUGAAGAUGUAGCACAUCA